GUUAACGUCUUGCUCAGAAAAAUCAAUCAAAUGAAAUCAGGCCUUCACACCAAGCAGAAACUACGUAGUCCUGAUCUCCCUCGUACACAGGAGUACAUUGGCAGCCAACUAUUGUGCGCUAACCCCUAUAAAAAUCAGAAAACCCUUUCAAUGGUUCAGUGAUCACCAGAUACAACUUUUUAAAACUCACCAGGAACUACGUAGACCUGAUCUCCCCCAUACAUGGGUGUAUAUAGGCAGCUAUUUAUGGUGCGGUCUGACCCUCAAAAGAAACAUCUAAGCCCAAAUAAAUCCAGUUUAAAUCAAACCAAUUAACACUCUUCAAAUCAAACCUAAUUAAACACUUUUUAAACCCUUCAGGCUAAGCCUGAACUACAUAAGACCUGAUCUCCCCCAUACACGGGAGUACGUAGGUAGAGCCAUCUAUGGUGCAGUCUAACCUUCAAAAGAAAAAACCAAACACUACCUUAGCCUAAACAUCAAAUCAAAUACCAGUCCCAAGACACCAAAAUUAAACUUGAAAACCUAUACACUAGAGAAAAACCUAAAGAUCAAAAACUCAUUCUAAGAGACCUUGUGACACCUCAAUGUCAGUCCAUCAGGAAAG
rnacentral:lncRNA from 1 species